AGUCUGCCGGGGAUAUUCUGGAAGCUGAGUUGAGGGGAGAAUACGAACCCGAGGUCCUGGCCUCCCAGCGCCGGCGUGCAGCCCGCUCGUCUAUCGCCGGGCUUCCUCAUCAUCACCACUUCGCUUCCCAAGUCUGGGAGAGACGAUGGUCACGGAGCUCAGUACACCCGUAUACCAAUGCCUUCUUACAAGACGCGUUCGGUCCACCAACAGGGGGGGCAACUGUGGAAGAGGAUCUUCCCGGAACCCCUCUGCCAGAGGAUACUCAUCCUUCGUGCAAGGAUGAAGUGAAAGUGCCACUCAGAGAGGAGGUACAAGAGGAGGAUAGCGCGCCCGUCGAGUUCUCCACAGGAGGCAUACCUUCCUUCAAA